GAUAAAACCACAUUCAUGGAGUUUGUUGAGGUACAUCAGGAUGAAGUUGCAGAAAGUCAUUGAUUUUGUUCACACUCAGCUUUGGUGGCCAUCAGCGCCAACUACCAGAAAAAUGAGCUUCCGAGCCUCUUCAACACCAUGGUGGAUUCAGCUGUUGGCGCUCCUUCUGAUUCAUGUUUUUAUCAUGUAUGGCCAAACUAAAGGACCAGCUGUUUGAAAUAACUGGAGCUUUGCUUGAAAUGUGCUGCUGUUGAUUAAACAUUGUAGUUUAUAAAUGAAAUGAAUUUACAAAAACAUAAUGGUGGUGGCAGAAAUCGAUUUAGUUUACAAAACAUAAUUUAACUGCGAGACAUUACAUUGCAGUUAAAAAAAAAUUAAAUAAGUGACUUGUAUUUGGAAUCAACCAGCACUCUACAUAUCAGGUUUUUAAGUUGGUGUAAACUCAGUAGCUGUCAACCUCUAAAGUAGUCUUUCAUUAAUUUCGCCUCCUUUGCCUGAUCGUUGUCAGUCUCUGUCAGAAACAUGAAUCAGAAGAACUUCAAAAACUCAAAAAAAAAAAAAAAAAAAAAAGGCCAGUUGUUGCCCUUUGAGUGUCUGAUUUGUGGAGCCUGCAUGGAAUUCAAACUACGUCCACCAGGGGACAGACUGUUCCUGGCUGAUAGUUGUGCUUUGACUGAUUUUUCUGGCUUAGGUGUCACUUUGUAGCUGCAUUUCUGAGGUAAGUGUACAAAGGUCUUCAAGUGAUCUGUUUUUGGUCCUCGGGGGCUGUUGCAGAGGUCUUCAAGUGAUAUGUUUUUGGUCCUCGGGGUCUGUUGCAGAGGUCUUCAAGUGAUCUGUUUUUGGUCCUCCGGGCCUGUUGCAGAGGUCUUCAAGUGAUAUGUUUUUGGUCCUCGGGGUCUGUUGCAGAGGUCUUCAAGUGAUCUGUUUUUGGUCCUCCGGGUCUGUUGCAGAGGUCUUCAAGUGAUCUGUUUUUGGUCCUCCGGGUCUGUUGCAGAGGUCUUCAAGUGAUCUGUUUUUGGUCCUCGGGGUCUGUUGCAGAGGUUUUCAAACGGACUGAUUAUGGUCCUCAGGGUCUGUUGCAUAGGUCUUCAGACGUACUGAUUUUGGUCCUCGGGGUCUGUUGCAGAGGUUUUCAAAUGGUAUGUUUUUGGUCCUCGGGGUCUGUUGCAAAGGUCUUCAAACGGUAUGUUUUUGGUCCUCGGGGUCUGUUGCAAAGGUCUUCAAACGGUAUGUUUUUGGUCCUCGGGGUCUGUUGCAGAGGUCUUCAGACGGUAUGUUUUUGAGUCUGCGGUUGAGGCUGGUGUUGCAGCUGGGACGCAGUGCGCUGUGUGUGAAUGUCAACAGGUUGCCUUCUUGUGUCUCGAUGUUGCAUCAGAAUCUGGUGAUGAACCGUCAGCUGUUAGAAAUGAGGUCUGUUGCUGUUCCUGCGUGUGCUGCAUUUUUCACCUCAUGCUAAAUUAAACACACAAUGUACUUAUCAAAACCUGUUACAGUGUGGGCUCUUGUGUGUCUCGCCAAAGUCUUCCUGCAACAACGGCAUUCUGGGUAAUCCUAAGAAAUCAGGAGUCCAUCAGAAGGGAAACACGAUUUUAAAAAGUGUGGUUUAUCUGGUUGACCUGGUUGAUCUUCCCGUUCAUCUUAUUUUGAAGGACUGACAUGCACUUGGAUGGAUGAUUUCCUCCCUCUUUGGUAGAAAUGGUGAAUGAUUGCAAAUGCACCAUAUCCAUAAACUACAGCUGUUUGUUCUGAUCUAUUUUUCUUCUUGUGAUGACAGAGAUCCGUCUCCGUGUCUCAGUAUAAAAUUAUAUGCGUAAAAUGUAAAAUAUCCAUCCAGUGUUUGAGAAACUUGAAUUUUAUUUAAACUU